CCUUGACAUCCAGAGAACUUAGCAGAGAUGCUUUGGUGCCUUCGGGAACUCUGAGACAGGUGCUGCAUGGCUGUCGUCAGCUCGUGUUGUGAAAUGUUGGGUUAAGUCCGCAACGAGCGCAACCCUUAUCCUUUGUUGCCAGCGGUUCGGCCGGGAACUCAAAGGAGACUGCCGGUGAUAAACCGGAGGAAAGUGGGGAUGACGUCAAGUCAUCAUGGCCCUUACGGCCAGGGCUACACACGUGCUACAAUGGCGCAUACAAAGAGAAGCGACCUCGCGAGAGCAAGCGGACCUCAUAAAGUGCGUCGUAGUCCGGAUUGGAGUCUGCAACUCGACUCCAUGAAGUCGGAAUCGCUAGUAAUCGUAGAUCAGAAUGCUACGGUGAAUACGUUCCCGGGCCUUGUACACACCGCCCGUCACACCAUGGGAGUGGGUUGCAAAAGAAGUAGGUAGCUUAACCUUCGGGAGGGCGCUUACCACUUUGUGAUUCAUGACUGGGGUGAAGUCGUAACAAGGUAAGCGUAGACGU
rnacentral:rRNA from 1 species